UGAGUCUGAAGGGACCUUUAGAGGUACUCUGGUCCAACUCCUUGGCAAUGAAAAGAGACACCUACAGCUAGAUCAGGUGUCCAGAGCCCCGUCCAUCCUGUGUUAAGUCAAAGCCUAAAUCAGAGCUUCAGUGAUGAUGUAGCAAAUGGCAACAGGUGAAAAGGACUCCCAGUGAGUGAGAAGCAGCACCCUCUGAUUUUUGAGGCUUUUAUUUUGAGUCCCAGUGGGGAGUUCUGCAAGAUGUGUUCUCCUUUCUGCUGAUGCUGCCCACAGUCAGUUUCAGAAUGACUCAAGUUCAAUCUGAAGCCUGCCCUGCACUCCUGCUGCAGACUGAAGCCUAACAGGAACUGUUCUGACAGAAUAUAGAUUGUGAAGAAGAAAUACUGCUCAAGGUUACUGUGAUCUUUUAAAUAUGCAACUAAAAACGAGACUGGAUAAGGAAAUACCUCAAGGUACAGGAAUUGAAAGGAUAAUUAUCAACUAUAUCAUUUGAUUUGGGGAAAAAAGAGGGACUGAAAACACACUUGAACAAGAGUCCAUAUACUUUGUGACCCCCAACUGGUGGAAGGACAGGGCUCAAGGCCAUCUGCCCCAGCUUCUCCCGACAUCUGCUGCCCUAACUGGCCGACCUGAGGAUCUGACUUGUCUCCUCUGUGGCACCACGAAGUGACAGGUGGUUCUCCAAGGAGGAAGACCACAGAAGGAAGAUCACAGGCCAGUUCAAGCUCUGAGAACCCAGUGUACUCUCUGAGUUAAAAUUGACAAUCAGAGCACAACCAGACUCAAAACACCGGUGGAUGUGUUUCUGGAGGUUUACACGCGUCCUGUUGCGAUGUCCUCUGAGGCUGGAUCAUUUUAACUACUCUGGCAGUGUUAAAUUGGGAUGAAAACCAUGCGUGGAUUGCUUCUAUCAGCCCUGUGGCUGCAUUCAUCGCUGGAUUAAAUGCACACAGCUCCAGCUCCACCAGCACAGGCAGAGAGGUGAUGGGAAGAGCCAGACGAGCAGCUCUCUUCUGCGUCUCACAAAACACCAAGUUCCCCAGAAGUUAAGGGAGCUGCAUCCCUUCUUCCCCAGGAGGAGCACUUCAGCACUUGUAACUACUUCUAGGAAAAAUCCACCCAUUUCACACUGCCCGUCACAUCCUUCUUGCAUACACAAAGUGCUGACUAAAUCACUGCAAGUUCUGUUACUUCAUCUCUAAAGUGCAGAGGUACUUCGAUUUGCUAUCUGCUGGUGUCACUGACUCUGCUCUGUUUGUGUGUGUCUUCUCCCAGUUUUCUAUUAGUUAUAUCUCAGUUCAGGAUGGGGCAAGAAGCAUCUUCCUGAAGAAGGCAACUGAAGUUUCUGUUGCCACCAAUCUGGAAGUACAAAAAUCUGUGUUUGGUGUCAAAACGAGCAUUUCUUGCACCUAGAAGGCUUCACGAAGUUGUAAAUUGAGGUGUAUUAAGCCACAUGAACUUGAUUGAAAGUGCAGAAGCACACAGUGAGCACUGCAGCCAUGCUUGGAAAGUAGAGAACCAGGGGGCUGCUAGCCCUCCGUGAUGAUGCAUGAUUAACUUGUGCAAGCUUGGUGCCCAUCACCCCUCUUGUAAGUGGGAAUAGGACUGGAAGGAGUGACCUUGUGGGUGCAGGGAAGGAGGCAGGUACAUAAAGCAGCUAGGAUUAAAAUCUAAAUAAAGAUGACAGGAUGAGAGGUAAUGACCUUAAGUUGCACCAGGGGAGGUUCAGGUUGGGUGUUAAGAACAAUUUCUUCUCAGCAAGAGCAGUG